CACGUAGGCACCAAGCGUUGUCCGGAUUUAUUGGGCGUAAAGAGCUCGUAGGCGGUUCGGUAAGUCGGGUGUGAAACUCUGGGCUCAACCUGGAGACGCCACCCGAUACUGCUGUGACUAGAGUCCAGUAGGGGAGCGUGGAAUUCCUGGUGUAGCGGUGAAAUGCGCAGAUAUCAGAGGAACACCGAUGGCGAAGGCAGCUCGCUGGGACGGUACUGACGCUGAGGCGCGAAAGCGUGGGGAGCGAACAGG
rnacentral:rRNA from 1 species